AUGGCGACUAGAGCUGCGUCUCUUGCUCUCUGCGCUCUUCUCGCACUCUCCCUAGUGUGUCAGGCGGUCUCUCGUGUGGAUCCUGCCGGAGGGGUGGCGGUGAAUGGGUACCCGUGCGGCUAUGUGGUCGUCAUCCGCAUCCCGCACGAGGGUGUCUGCCAGCGGGACCGCAGUUCAUGUGGAAGUACCCGGGCAUCAAGGCCGUCAUAG
rnacentral:rRNA from 1 species